UCCUAUCCCCAUCACCUCAUCCCAUCCCGCCGGCGAAGGCUCCCCACCACCACCAAACCCUAGAUUACAGUAGAUAGAUCUCGUUCUCCGGCGGCGGCGAAGAUGGUGUGCAUCCGGCAGGCGACGAUCGACGACCUGCUGGCGAUGCAGGCGUGCAACCUGAUGUGCCUGCCGGAGAACUACCAGAUGAAGUACUACUUCUACCACAUGCUGUCGUGGCCGCAGCUGCUGUUCGUCGCCGAGGACUACGGCGGCCGCAUCGUCGGCUACGUGCUGGCCAAGAUGGAGGAGGACCCCUCGGAGCCCUGCCACGGCCACAUCACCUCGCUCGCCGUGCUCCGCUCCCACCGCAAGCUCGGCCUCGCCACCAAGCUCAUGUCGGCGGCCCAGGCCGCCAUGGACCAGGUCUUCGGCGCCGAGUACGUCUCGCUCCACGUCCGCCGCUCCAACCGCGCCGCCUUCAACCUCUACACCUCCACCCUCGGCUACCAGAUCCACGACAUCGAGGCCAAGUACUACGCCGACGGCGAGGACGCCUACGACAUGCGCAAGAUGCUGCGCCAGCCCGUGCCCAAGAAGCACCACCACCACCACCACGCCGGCGGCGGCUGCUGCUCCCACGACGCUCCUGCUGCCGCGGCGGCCGGCUCGUCCCCAGCGUCCGCUUCGCCGGAGAAGUAGGCCGACUCAUUAGAUGAACCAGAUGAUGAGGGUUGCCCAAGUGCAAUCCUACCAUGAUGCGGACUGAAAUUUCAUUGAGGUCAAAUACAUUUGCCGCUGAUGGUUCUUCUUUACAAUUCUGCACAUUUUGAAUGCCAGUGCAGUUCUUGAAAGCCAUUUCAAAAACAAGGAGCUGCUGAACCUCCUGGAUAAUAUGAAUCAUAUGGUGCUCUCCUCUUGGAUCUUGAUUGUAGCCCCUGCUGUACCAUUGAUACAGAGAGAACAUUGUACUGUGAUUACUUUGGUCAGAUCGCACACCUUUGGCCAGAAUCCUUGUACUUCUUGUGAGACUUAAUGACAUGCACAUAUUUUAACUACCUCCCAAUUGUUGCCUGAAAUUUUGUGGGCAAAUCGUGGCUGAAAUGUGGACGGUUAGACUUGCAGAGGAGCACUCAAUAAAAUUUGUUUGGGGAUGUCUUUUUGGCAA